rnacentral:lncRNA from 1 species
GGCUGAUAUCUUCAAGUGUUUCUCCUUAUACAGUUCUCAUGUUGAACCACUUUCACGGUGCCUUGUUGAAGCUCCGGAGCUUUAAUCUUGGGACGGGUAAAGUUUUGAGACAGUAACGUCUAUCAUGUGAUUGUUGGUAAAUCUGCUAAAUCAACCGACUCUGUUACUGAAGGUCUAAAAGAGAACAGAGAAGAGGUCACAAAAAUUGAAUGCUUCGCUUCUCACUAUCUAAAUAGGAUUUUGCUUCUUGGUUCAUGUCUUGUCUGGUUCAGUGGCUUCUGCACCACAUAGUCCUUCCGGUGAGGUUCUUCUCUAUCCAGGCGGUAGCACUUAUGGCGGAGGUCGGUUUCUGAUCUUGGCGUCAGCGGUCUCCUGAUCUCCGACGUGGCGGCUUCAUCGUGAGAGGGUGAGGCUCGGAGCUAGGGUUUUCGCAAGCUUUUGGGCUAUUUUGGGCUUGUUACUUUUCUAGGUUUUGUCUAAUUGGGCCCAUUUGGGAUUGUAGUUGGGCUUUAUUUAAUUUCUGUUGAAAAAAAAACAAAAAAAUAUUAAUGAAAACCCUUUUUCAAAAAAAAAAAAAAAAAAAGAAAAGAACAUGUCUUCAUUUAAUUUUGUAUGUAUCUUUUAACAUGUCGUAUGCCUUGACCACCGGACUACUUUGGUGUAGUCGAUCUUAGCUCUAAUCUGAUUUUUGUUU